rnacentral:rRNA from 1 species
GGAGGGAGCUGUCGAAGGUGGGACUGGCGAUUGGGACGAAGUCGUAACAAGGUAGCCGUACCGGAAGGUGCGGCUGGAUCACCUCCUUUCUAAGGAGCA